rnacentral:lncRNA from 1 species
AUAAGCUUUUGCUGCGCAUCGCCUAUGUCACGGUCGGGCCGAGCGCCGGUGAUGAGGGCGCAAGAUACAGGAGCAUGGCCUUCUUCUCGCGCUGCAGCCUCCGGCUUUGUCCUGCUCGAGGAGGAGGAGGAGCAGGAGGGGCGCACCCAACCACUAAGGUGGCCGUUGUCGAGGGCUUCUUACAUCUGAACCUCGACCUCCACGUCGUCGUUGUCCAGCCACUCAAGUUCAAGGUUUCCCCGUUCCCCUCUCCCC